ensembl:lncRNA
GAGAAAGCUCGCAUGAACCGAUUGGCUCCGAAGCAAAAAUCUGAAUGAGUGGAUGCACACUACCAUCUUAUAUACCCUUAUGUACGGGGAAAGGCUUGGCAUGCAAAUACCACUUGCCAAUUGUCACUGGCCAUUUCUCGUAAUGCUCAGAGGUGAUUUGGGCUCCCAAGUAAGACCUCUAACGUCAGUGUAGAAUUGACUGGCUGAAAGGGAAAUGGUGUUAUGAGAAACAAACAGAAAAUUGUAAAUAAAAGAACAAAAAUAAUAAGGAUUUCAGAUAUAACACAGCACAGGAUAUUUAAAUAUGCAGAAUGAUGAAUAGCAUUCAAGAGCUUGAGGAACAUUUUCAGUGAAUAACAAAAUUUCAGUCUGUUCCUCAUGCAAAGCUAUUGAAUGGCAUAUGGUGGACAAGACAUAUGGACCACUAUUUUGGUACUUCACUGGUGUUUUUUUACCUUUUUUGGAACUUUGUAUGGAGACAAGCUGCAUGAACAUUCUCAGAAUAACAAUAUAUGGAAAGAGAGUGAAUAAAUAGUUUCCAUUUUUGGGAUUUGCUCCUGGACAGCUGAAGCAGAGCCAAAUCCAAAGAGGAACAUAAACGAGAGGGAAACUUGCUGUGCAUUGUGAAUCUCACAGACUCAACCAAACAGCACACUUCCACGUUUCACACCAGUCUGGCUUAAACAUGCUGAUUUUUCACAUAUAUUCAGCGGUUUAAUGCUGUGAAAGUUCUGCAACAAUACCAGUAUCAUCCCCAAAGCUGACUAUGGGAAAACUAAAAGCCCUUGGAAAAAGGAGGUAUUCAGAUAUGUAGCUAUUUAUAUUAUAAGAAUUAUGACUGUUGCUUUGAGAUAACGUCAGUCUGUUGAGUACUAGUGCAAAUGUUCAGCUGGUGGCCAUGAAUAAAUGGCCCACUUAACUCUUCUUAUAAUAAAUUAGCAAAUUAAAUCAUUUAAUUAAUUAAACUAAUGUAUGUUUAGAAGCAGGCUUAACUGAACAUGACAACAUCAAGCUGAUGGGCAGAAUAAAGGGUCAAAGUUACUUUGUGUUACAAAGUUACAAAGUAACACUUGAGCACCCUUACAGGGACAGUUCACCCAAACAUGAAAAUUUUGUCAUCAUUUUCUCACCCUAAAGUUGUUCCAAACCCGUAUGAGUUUUCUCUUUUUU